ensembl:lncRNA
UAUGCAGCUAAAAUAAAGAUGGAUAAAACCUAAGUAGAAUAAUAAUCAAAGUUCAGUGAUGGAGGUUUUUAGUUUUCCCUUCUUUGUUUGUUUUUUUUUUUUUUUUAACCUCAGUGCUGGAAGCACUUUCUGACAUGUCAAACCAAACAAAACAGCAAAGUAAUUAUUCAUCGAAUCUUAGAGGCUCAGCAGCAUGAGACACACUCCAGCCGAUUCUUGGUGAAAAAAUAUAUUUAAGUCAAGCUUGUGUUUCCAUCUGGUCCAAAAAUUAUAAAACUACAAAAAUCUAAAUAUAUAUGCAUUUAAUUUUUUCUGUUCAGUAACUCUGUGAACAUCCAUCAGUGAUAUGAGUGUCUCUGUGAUGCUGUGAGAAUACAGCAGUGCGAGUCAGGUUAUUUUGUAUUAAUGGUGUAAAUUUGUAAAGCAGGAGCAGCUCCUGUAACACACAGGUGCUGUCAUGUCGAGUUAGUUUGUCACAAACCGUUUUUGUGGAUUUGGUGUUUAAAACAGCAAAAGGACAAAAGAUGGGAAUUUAGAUCAACCACAGUGAUGAUACUCAUGAAGAAGCAAGACAGCAGAGUGUCAGUGUGGCACCGACUCAUUUUGUCAGAAUAGGUGUUUUAUGUGUGUUUGGACAUGAACGUUUAAGCUCUUAAAUGUGUUUAAAAAACACAUUUUAAAUGAUCCUAUAGGAUACAUGUUAACAAAUAAGAAAAUCUUUUUCUCAAAACAUCAUUUUAGUGUUUAUUCAGAGUAGACAGUAACACCAGCAGAAUCACGGUCGUCUGUCUCUGUGAAGAUUCAUGUUUCCACAUUUUUAGCAUCACGGGUCUUCUAUCAGUUUUGCUGCAGCUGUAUUGUUGUGAUGAACCUAUAAAGUGUAAAGAGAAAUAAAAAAAUGUAAACGAAUUGCCACAUAUUCUCUGUUCUCGUCAGUGCUGUUCCAGAUUAAAUGCUGUUGUUCGACAUUAUAAAAGCUGUGCUGAUGGUGUUUUACCUCUGUGGCAUUUCCAGCAUGAGUAGCAUUAUUUGGAUGAAGAUGCAAGGUCUUGUUCUGAAAUGUGUUGGAUUACAUUAGGUACAGAUCUUUAAACCCAACCCUUCCCCAACAUCUAAAUAAAAUAUAACCUGCACAAAUAAACAAAUAAUUUUAUACAUCAGAAGGCAACAUUGCAGACAGAGGACAGCUACAAGUACCUGGGGAUCCCACAGGCAAAUGGGAACCAUGAAGAGGUCAUUAGGAAACCUGCAACCACCAAGUACCUGCAGAGGGUCAGGCAAGUCCUGAUGAGUCAACAGAAUGGGAAGAACAAGAUCCGGGCUAUCAGCGCCUGUGAUCAGGUACCCUCCUGGGAUAAUAAGCUGGCCAAAGGAGGAGAUAGAAGCCACUGACAUCAAGACAAGGAAGCUCCUGACUCUGCAUGGAGGGUUUCACCCCAAGUCCAGCACCCUGAGGCUGUACGCUAAACGGAAGGAAAGAGGCCGGGGACUGGUCAGUGUCAGCACCACAGUCCAGGAUGAAACAAUGGACAUCCAUGAAUGCAUCAGGGAGAUGGCCCCAACUGACUGCGUGCUCAGUGAAUACGUCAGGCAGCAGAAACCCAAGAAUGAGGAGGAAGAGGAGGCACCAUCAUGGAAGGACAGGCCCCUGCACAGUAUGUACCACAGGCAGAUAGAGGAAGUAGCUGGCAUCCAGAAAUGGAUCGGACAAUUGGACAAAGCUGGACUGAAAGACAGCACAGAGGCACUAAUCAUGGCAGCACAGGAACAAGCUCUGAGCAUAAGAUCCAAAGAGGCUGGGGUCUAUCACACCAGGCAAGACCCCAGGUGCAGGCUGUGUAAAGAUGCCCCAGAGACAAUCCAGCCCAUAACAGCAGGGUGCAAGAUGGUAGCAGGCAGGGCAUACAUGGAGCGCCAUAACCAAGUGGUCGGCAUACAGAAACAUCUGUGCCGAAUACGGCCUGGAAGUCCCGAGGUCAAAAUUUUUAAAUAACCUUAGACAAAGCACAUAACAACAAAUAAGAGACACUUAACAAAUAAAGGAAACUUUUCUCACAACAGACUUUUAAUGAUUAUUUAGGUAAGACAGUAACAAGAGCAGAAUCACGGUCGUCCACCUUUGCUUCCACUGAAAUGUUCUGAGGAACAGUCUGUAAAUUACACAGAGGGAAAAAAAAUCAAAUGAUUUCACUUAACUGUCACAAAAUCACACCUAUGGCCAGGUUUUUGUGAUACUUUUAUCUUUUUUAAGACAUUUGUUUUAAAAUACAAUUUUUCAAGGCACUUUUGGUAAUUUUCUUUAAAAAAAAAAAAAAAAGAAAGAAAUUAUGACAAAUUAUAGAUAUAUAAAUAUAGUGUUGUUGAUGGUGUUUUACCUGUGUGUCAUUUCCCCCAGCUGAUUCUGUUCCAUCACGUGUACCUUCAAAGCUAUUCCAGCACCCAUGGCACAACUGAAAUUUAUUGAUUUAUAUUAGUUACAGGCCUUUGUACUUCACUUUUCUAUCAACAUUGAAAUAAAAUGUAAUCUACACAAAUAUACAUUUAUACAUGAAAUACGUAUUCAUUAUUUACAUAAAUAAUUAUGAAAGACAAAGAAAUUCUAAGUCAGGUUUUAAGGUUAUACUAAUAUACAGUACAUCUGUGUCACUGUAGCAGUUUGAGCUUGUUGUGUUAGUAAAAAUGCUUUUAGGAGUCAAUAUAAAACAGAAUUCACACAAUUUGUGUAGAUAUCUGGCUACACAAAGUACUUGUUGAUGUGGAUGAUAAAUUGAUCUUAGAAGCAAAUAUAAAAAAUGAAUAUAAGUCUAAUUUUACUCCGUACUAGAUGAUCAAAGUCCCAACUCUGAAGCAAGUCAUAGAUCUGUUUAUUUUCCUGGUAUUUCAAGGCCCGGGGCAAAGAUUAUAUCCGUAAAAGGGGUUACAAAUAUAAUUCCAUACACCCCGUCAUGGGGCAAUUGUUAUUUAUUGUUGUUGUUUUUCAAUUAAAAAGACAUCUCAUGAUGAUAAGGAAUAGUCUCCGUUAUAUGUUAGUAAAUAGAGUCCAGAUUGACCUCUUUAAUAGUGAAAAAUAUUAAGUCUUUGUUGUGAAAGUUCAAUAUAGUUUGGUAGUUUUUCAAAGAUUUAAUUUAAUUUUUAUCUUACCACUGAGAUUAUGGUCUUUUUUGAGUUGCGUUCAUUACGGACCAGUAAUGAAAGUGGAUGACAUUUAUAAUAACGUAUAAAGCUCAAAAUUUAAUAUGGCAGAUUUGUAAUAUAUAUUUUCAACAUUUACAUUUUUAUCCCAGCGCUGGAACAGGUAGAAAAACAAAAUAAAAUAUAAUCAGUAAUUUAUUUAUUUUUUUACAUAUUUAUUUUGACUUACAUUAUUCUUUGCUGGUGCUGUGCUUCCUUCAUGCAGCUGAAAUUAAAAUGAAUAACACUUUCAGAACACUUUCACAGAAUCCUACAAUAUAAAGCCAAAAUGCAGGGCUGGAGGUGUCAUGGUCCUGGGUCGGUGACCCAGCGCUUUAAGUUCAUUAUUAUCAUUCUUCUAGUUUAUUCUGAUUUUGUAUUUGUUCUUAGGGUUUGAGUUGUGUGUUUCUAUCAUCCCUACCUGUGUUCUGUUCGUGUCCCCAGUUGGUUGUGUAAAACAGUCUGUGUGUUUCCUGUUUUACUUUGUAGGUUUGUGUCUCAUUAUGUCCAUUAGUUCCAGCUGUGUCCCGGCCUGUCUGCCAUUUCCUAAUUACCUGGUGUGUGUAUUUAUACUGCGUGUCUGCCUGUGCUCCUCGUCGUGUUGUCUGUGUUCGUCCUCCGUGUUACCCUGCGUACUCUGCAUUACUCUAUGUCUCCUCUAUGUGCUCUCCCUGCAGUUCUCCUCUCGUGUUUCAGGUUUGCUACUCUUUAGUUUAGUUUCUCCCAGUUUAGUUCAUCCUUGGUUCUGUUUUGCCAUCCCCACUUUAUGUUCAGUAUUCUUAAUAAAUCACCCUCACGUCUUAAUAAGUGCUGCAUUUGAGUCCUCCUUCCUCACCUCACACGGCCACUGCCCCGAGCCGUGACAGGAGGUUUUUAUUUUUCCCUGUUUUUUUUAAAUAAUGUUUUUCACUCUAUGUUUGAAGGUUAUUUCAAAUCAAACAACGCAUCAAAAUAAUAAAGUUAAUCUCAGUUAAUCAGCUGCAGCAUGAGACACACUUCAGCUGAUUCUUGAUGAUAAAUAUAUCUAAAUAAAUAUUUAUGUAGACUGUCAUUUGUUAUAAGCUUUCAACAUAUCUGUGAACAUCAAACAGUGAUAUGAUAUUUUCUUACCGAAGCUGUGAGAAUGAAUCCCACCAAACAGAGCAGUGUGAGUCCUCUCAUUUUGUAAUCAGCCUCCAGUGAGCGUUUAGACCUGUUUUAUAAUGCAUGUGUUUGUAGGUGGAGGCUGUUUUACUUCAGCUCUUGUUUAACAUCAAAGUUCAAAUUUGUUCAGAUUUGUUUGCUUACCUGCCCAAAGUCUGUUUUAUUCUCAACAACAGGGCAGAUGUUAAUUUGGUGAGGCUGAGUGCUCUCAUGGGCGUCCCCUCUAAUUAUGACUUUAUUUGAAAUAUAUUGAAAUAUUUUAACGUCUGUUAGUUAUCUAUUUUUUUUAAAAUCAAGGCAUCUUUGUUAGAAUUCCCCACUCGCCCCUGCGGGCGGUCUAUCCUCGGGUCCUCUACCAGAGGCCUGGGAGCUUGAGGGUCCUGCGCAGUAUCUUAGCUGUUCCUAGGACUGCGCUUUUCUGGACAGAGAUGUCCAAUGUUGUUCCCGGGAUCUGCUGGAGCCACUCGCCUAGCUUUAGAGUCACUGCACCUAGUGUUUCGAUUACCAGUGGGAACCUUCACCCUCCACAUCUUCUCUGAGCCCUUGGUAUUUCUCAAGCUUCUCAUUAUCCUUCUUCCUGAUGUUGCUGAUGUUGGGAACCGCUACAUCGAUCACUACAGCCAUCUUCUUCAGUUUGUCUACCACGACUAUGUCCGGUUGGUUAGCCACCACCAUUUUGUCCGUCUGUAUCCGGAAUUCCCACAGGAUCUUAGCUCGGUCAUUCUCCACCACCCUACAUGUUAUAAUAGACUUUUCUAUUAUAAGGAAGUCCCAUUUUGACUUCGGGACUUCCAGGCCAUAGUCGGCACAGAUGUUUCUGUAUGCCGGCCACUUGGUUAUGGCGUUCCAUGUAUGCCCUGCCUGCUAGCAUCUUACACCCUGCUGUUAUGGGCUGGAUUGUCUCAGGGGCAUCUUUGCACAGCCUGCACCUGGGGUCUUGCCUGGUGUGAUAGACCCCAGCCUCUAUGGAUCUUGUGCUCAGAGCUUGUUCCUGUGCUGCCAUGAUUAGUGCCUCUGUGCCGUCUUUCAGUCCAGCUUUGUCCAGCCACUGGUAGGAUUUCUGGAUGCCAGCCACUUCCUCUAUCUGCCUGUGGUACAUACCGUGCCGUACCAUCCUUCCAUGAUGGUUCCUCCUCUUCCUCAUGUUUCUGUUGCCUGAGGUAUUCACUGAGCACGCGGUCAGUUGGGGCCAACAGACAUCCACGAAUGCAUCAGGAAGAUGCAUUCAUCGAUGUCCGUUGGCCUUCUUCCUUCCGUUUAGCGUACAGCCUCAGGGUGCUGGACUUGGGGUGAAACUCUCCAUGCACGGUCAGGAGUUCCUUGUCUUGAUGUCAGUGGCUUCUAUCUCCUUCUUUGGUCAGCUUAUUAUCCCAGAAGGGUACCUGAUCACGGGCAGGGGGUAGGUGUUGAUAGCCCGGAUCUUGUUCUUCCCAUUCUGUUGACUCCUCAGGACUUGCCUGACCCUCUGCAGGUACUUUUCUACAGACCUCUUCAUGGUUCCCAUGUACCUGCUGGGAUCCCCAGGUAAUUGUGGCUGUCCUCUGUGCCUGCAAUGUUGCAUUCUGGUAGUUCGAUCCCCUCAGUUCUGACUACCUUCCCUCUCUUUGUUAUCAUCCAACUACAUUUCUCCAGUCAAACGACAUUCCGAUGUCAUUUCUGUAUAUACUGGUGGUGUGGAUCAGUCUCAUUCACUCUUGGCAUACAGCUUGAUGUCAUCCAUGUACAGGAAGUGGCUGACAACUGCUCCACUCUGUAGUCGGUAUCCAUAGCCAGUCUUGUUGAUGAUCUCACUGAGGGGGUUCAGCCCUAUGCAGAACUAUGCAGUAUAUUUCUAGGCAUUCCAGGAUCCAGGUGCGGGGCAUUGAGUCAUAUAUACAUAUACAUAUACAUAUGUAUAUGUAUAUGUAUCUAUCUGUCUAUCUAUCUAUCUAUCUAUAUACAUACAUACAUACAUAUAUAUCUAUAUAUAUAUAUAUAUAUAUAUAUAUAUAUAUAUAUAUAUA